rnacentral:rRNA from 1 species
UUGAACGCUGGCGGCAGGCCUAACACAUGCAAGUCGAACGGUAACAGGAAGCAGCUUGCUGCUUUGCUGACGAGUGGCGGACGGGUGAGUAAUGUCUGGGAAACUGCCCGAUGGAGGGGGAUAACUACUGGAAACGGUAGCUAAUACCGCAUAACGUCGCAAGACCAAAGAGGGGGACCUUAGGGCCUCUUGCCAUCGGAUGUGCCCAGAUGGGAUUAGCUAGUAGGUGGGGUAACGGCUCACCUAGGCGACGAUCCCUAGCUGGUCUGAGAGGAUGACCAGCCACACUGGAACUGAGACACGGUCCAGACUCCUACGGGAGGCAGCAGUGGGGAAUAUUGCACAAUGGGCGCAAGCCUGAUGCAGCCAUGCCGCGUGUAUGAAGAAGGCCUUCGGGUUGUAAAGUACUUUCAGCGGGGAGGAAGGGAGUAAAGUUAAUACCUUUGCUCAUUGACGUUACCCGCAGAAGAAGCACCGGCUAACUCCGUG